AUUGGGGAGAGCGGAGCCAGGAACCCCCUGAGCUCCAUCCACGACCAGGGGGCCGGAGGCAACGGUGACAGUGGGGACAUCAUUGGGGACAUCAUUGGGGACAUUGGGGACAUCAUUGGGGACAUCAUUGGGGACAUCAUUGGGGACAUUGGGGACAUCAUUGGGGACAUUGGGAACCCCCUGAGCUCCAUCCACGACCAGGGCGCCGGGGGCAACGGUGACAGUGGGGACAUCAUUGGGGACAUCAUUGGGGACAUCAUUGGGGACAUUGGGGACAUUGGGGAGAGCGGAGCCAGGAACCCCCUGAGCUCCAUCCACGACCAGGGGGCUGGAGGGAACGGCAAUGUCCUCAAGGAGAUCUCGGAGCCGGCCGGAGCCGUCAUCUACGCCAGCCGCUUCCAGCUGGGGGACCCCUCGGUGAGCAUCCUGGAG